rnacentral:lncRNA from 1 species
GGAUUGCAAGGAGUUAGCUUCAGCUAAUCAGGUUUGGAAUUGUGAUUGUUUGGCCUUUCUCUGCCGUGAACAAGUUUAUUUGUAUAUGUAUGCUAAUUUAUGAAUUGAUGAUGAUUUGUGAAAGUUUUAACACUAUUUUUUUUUGUUGAAUAUUGAGUGUGAUUAAUUAGCUACUGAAAAUUCAACCAAGUUGAUUAUAUUACUCCCGUUAUAUAGGUUUUCAUUUUGUUAAUUAGUGAAGUUGAAUAUAUAUUUUCUAUAUUAUAUUAUUCAAAUGUUUAACUUGCACCAGAAAAUUGCAUUGUAGUAGAAUAUUGAGUUUUUACUUAAAUCAUCAAGGCAAGGAGCUUCGCUCUAAGUAUCAAAAUAAGAAAUUAUCAAGAAUCAAUUGCGUAUCAAAAUAAUUUCGAAAUAGAAGAAACAUGAAUAUCCCCAUGAUUUCACAUGUCAAGUGCAGUAUUUAAGAGCAUAUGUAGACCAUGAUAAAUUAGUGGAAAUAGACGAAGGAUAAGGACAGGAAACAGUCAUUUACAAUGAAUUAAUACCAUUCCAAUGGAGCUUGGAAUUGUGAGGGAGAACUUGUGAUGAUAGUUAUAAUAUUUGGUCAAAAGAUCUGUAACAAAACUAAGUACCUUACAGUCAAUAGGAAUAGAUACUAAUUUUGAUCAUAAUAAAGGGUCUUAUAAACACAUCAAUGUGAUAGAGUCUAUAAACGAACAAAGGAAAUUUAAAAAGCCAGUUGCAAGAGAAUAACAUUUUUGGUAAUAUAUUUGAAAAGGACAAUACAUAAUUGAGAUAGUAAAUCUUCAAAUGAGAGCAAUAACACACACCUUCAAACACCUACAAUUCAGGAGUUGUUGCAACUUUCAGAGAUUGGAAAAAAAUUACGGAUAAAGGUAAAGAGAAACAAAAAUAAAAUCCAACUUAAGCAAAUAGAAAAGCAUAUUGACAAAGAAAUUAAGCAAGAUAAUUUGCUUAAUCAAUGCUAAACUCAUUAAUUAAAAUGUUAAUAAUCAUUUUUCCAAAACACAUUUUGGGAAAGCAGAUAGAUUUGAAGAAUUGGGUAAGAUAUACCUUGUUUUAAUAUUUCUAGUUUUUAUAUUUGUUCGUAUGUGCUUUACUACAAUUAGUUAUUCUAAUAUUUGUACAUAUUUUGUAAUUUACAGUGCUAUGGAGAAGAUUCUUCAAGUUGAAGCUACAAUUACAACGAGAUAUAGAUUGCAAAUAGUGCGAGAUGUUUACGAGAAACUCGAUACAAAUUACAAAAAAAGCUUCGCGAGAGCUGCUUCGGAUCUCUCCUUAGGUCGAAGGAUAUAAGGUUGACUUCGCAAAUUGUACAACAAUUAUUAUUGCAAAGGAUGAAGACUAACCAAAAAACAAAGAAGUAUAGUGUAAGAUAGGAGAGAAACGAGCAAGAUUUGAGUUGGAAGAAUUUGUUUUAGUAGCGUGCUUAAAUGCGGGUGAUGAUAACAACGUAGAUAAGAUCUUGGGGUGGAGUGUUAGAUUGUGAAAGAUUAUUUUAAGAAAAGUAGAGAGAAAAUUACGAGGGGAGAUGCUGACAAUGCAUUUGUAAGUUGAGAGAAAAGAAAGAACAACAAAUAUAAGUUGGGAUUGAUUAUAAACUUGGUGUACGUCCCGUGGAUCACGGAGGAAAAAUACUUACAUCAAUUUAUGAUGGCUGAACUUGAUAGAUGAUCUAGACAUGUUUGAGAUGUAUUCAUGAUGAAAGUUUUCAUUUGAAUACCGGCUUAAUAUAUUCAAACGUAAAAUGAGAGGUAAAUUGAAAAGUUUGGAUGUGGAGGAGGGUCACGUUGUCGGUAUUCAUUGCAUGGCUUUCCUUUUGCUAUAAU